rnacentral:tRNA from 2 species
CACCGCUUUAGUCCGCUCAGCCAUCUCUCC